rnacentral:rRNA from 1 species
UACGGAGGGUGCAAGCGUUAUCCGGAUUUACUGGGUUUAAAGGGUGCGUAGGUGGGUCUGUAAGUCAGUGGUGAAAUCUCCGAGCUUAACUCGGAAACUGCCAUUGAUACUAUAGGUCUUGAAUUAUCUGGAGGUAAGCGGAAUAUGUCAUGUAGCGGUGAAAUGCUUAGAUAUGACAUAGAACACCAAUUGCGAAGGCAGCUUACUACGGAUUUAUUGACACUGAGGCACGAAAGCGUGGGGAUCAAACAGG